AGUGAACGCUGGCGGUAGGCCUAACACAUGCAAGUCGAACGGCAGCACAGGAGAGCUUGCUCUCUGGGUGGCGAGUGGCAGACGGGUGAGGAAUACAUCGGAAUCUACUCUGUCGUGAGGGAUAACGUAGGGAAACUUACGCUAAUACCGCAUACGACCUACGGGUGAAAGCAGGGGACCUUCGGGCCUUGCGCGAUUGAAUGAGCCGAUGUCGGAUUAGCUAGUUGGCGGGGUAAAGGCCCACCAAGGCGACGAUCCGUAGCUGGUCUGAGAGGAUGAUCAGCCACACUGGAACUGAGACACGGUCCAGACUCCUACGGGAGGCAGCAGUGGGGAAUAUUGGACAAUGGGCGCAAGCCUGAUCCAGCCAUACCGCGUGGGUGAAGAAGGCCUUCGGGUUGUAAGGCCCUUUUGUUGGGAAAGAAAUCCAGCUGGCUAAUACCUGGUUGGGAUGACGGUACCCAAAGAAUAAGCACCGGCUAACUUCGUGCCAGCAGCCGCCGUAA
rnacentral:rRNA from 1 species